AUGGGAUGUAACCGAGCACCAAGGCCGGAUAACAUCCCAGCGGAAUUCUAUAUGCAGUGUUGGGAGUUUGUGAAAAAAGAUAUCAUGCACUUGUUCGAAGCUUUCCAUUCGAACAAGUUAGACAUAGCUCGUCUGAACUAUGGCAUUAUUACUCUAAUUCCCAAGAUGAAAGGAGCAAAGAAAAUACAGCAGUAUCAUCCAAUAUGUCUUCUGAGAUUCCCAUAUAAGCUUAUCACCAAGGUCUUAGAUAACCGGGUGGCAAUGUUUGCUGAUAUUCUGAUCAGUAAGCACCAGAAUGCAUUUAUCAAGCAUAGAAAUAUCAUGGACGGGAUCCUCACUUUGCAUGAAAUACUUCAUCAUACUCAUCAUAAGAAAAAAGUGGGGGUGGUCUUGAAAUUAGAUUUUGAGAAAGCCUAUGAUAAAAUCAAUUGGGAAUUCCUCCUAGAUUGUCACCGCGACUGA
rnacentral:rRNA from 1 species